UACGGGGGGGGCAAGCGUUGUUCGGAAUUACUGGGCGUAAAGGGCUCGUAGGCGGCCAACUAAGUCAGACGUGAAAUCCCCAGGCUUAACCUGGGAACUGCGUCUGAUACUGGAUGGCUUGAAUUCGGGAGAGGGAUGCAGAAUUCCAGGUGUAGCGGUGAAAUGCGUAGAUAUCAGGAGGAACACCGGUGGCGAAGGCGGUUCUCUGGGCAUUACCUGACGCUGAGGAGCGAAAGUGUGGGGAGCGAACAGG
rnacentral:rRNA from 1 species